rnacentral:lncRNA from 1 species
AUCAUUGCAAAUCAACUACACUUUAAUAAAAAAUUUUUAAGAAUAAAUUACACUGCAAAAACAAACAAACAAACAAAAGUUAAGUUCUUCUAAGUAUUCUUUGUCAAGUUUCUUUCCAUGGUGUUCUUUUCCUACUUGGGCAGAGCCUGAAAACCUAGAAGGAUAAUUUUGCUCUUAGGGUUUUAAUGAUUUGUUUACUGGUUCAUUUCAGAGAGUGAGCUGGAAAAAAGGGAAGUGUCCCAAGAAGUUUUUGAGGUCCCAUGACUUUCCACUAUGUCACUCCUGGUAGCACUGCCCAAACUCUUUGCAGUGCCUGGGAGAUGGGCACGCAGCAUACGCAGACUUCAGCACUACCUGGAGUGAAGGUCCCUCACACUCCUUCACCACAGCCUCCUCGGGGCAGCACCUGCCAAAGAGCCGGGAAAGUGAUCAAACAACAGCCACAACCACAGGGGCAGCCCUUCUCUCUCUCUCUCAACAAGAAUGAACUGGACUGUAAGAGCAAAAUUAUCCUUGUGGGCUUUCAGGCUCUGCCCAAGUAGGGAAAAGAACACCAUAGAAAGAAACUUGACCAAGACUACUCAGAAGAACUUAACUUUCUGUUUGUUGUUUUUGUUCUUGUUUUUGUUUUCUACAGGGUAAUUUACUCUUUAAAGAAAAUUUGUUCCUGCUGUGUAGCACUGGGAACUCUAUCUGGUCACUUAUGAUGUUGCAUGAUAAUGUGAGAAAAAGAAUGUAUAUAUGUGUGUGUGCCUGGGUCACCUUGCUGUACAGUAGAAAAUUGACAGAACACUGUAAACCAGCUAUAAUGGGAAAAAUAAAAAUCAGUUAAAUUAAAAAAAAAUUAUUAAACCACCUCUGGCCAGCAAAUGGCACUAAAUGAUGCCUGAAUUUCAAGAUCCCUUUUCCCCUAACACACAAUUUCAACAUUUCUGAAACUGGAUUAUACCUUCUACCUGACUGGUACCUUCAGGUAGUCUUUUUCCCUCUUUGUUCCCUCUCACCCCUGACUUCCCCUUGGAAUUAAACAAAUAAAAUGGGUUUACAGGGAUUAGGGUCAGUUAUAAUUUUAGAAUUAAGUCACCAAAUAUAAGCCUCUCUAUAUAUUAUAGGGCUUUGAAGUCAUUUAUUUUUUGAACUAUUAAACACUAAAACCUUUGUUAGGGAAAAUACAUUUGAAUAAGAGACCAAGUUGGUAGAAAGGAAAAAAAAAAUUUAAUGACCAAAAGAAUGCUAAUAUGUCCCUAAAGUUAGAGUUACCUUACCAUCAAGACAGAAACACAAAAGCAAGGAGAACCCGCUAAUUCACACAUCACAAAUUCCAGUGCUCAUUUAUCUCUAUUUUUAGUAAUUUGUUAGAUCUUGAUGUUAUUCUUCAUGCCUAUGUAUCAUGUAUGAUAAUGAUUUAUGGGGUUAGCUAUUCAUCUUCCCAACAGAGCUCCCUACAAAGAAACAAUUACUCUACCUCUGAGAUGGGAUGCCAUGAAAGGAAUGGUUUCCAGAUGCUUUGAUUAAAAAAAGGCUUCAAGAAUAUGGGCAACAUAAAAUUCCAAAGCAGGCAAAACUAAUCCUGUUAACAGUCAACAGUCUCACUGGCUACGUUCAGUGAGAAGGUUGGGGGGGGUGGUUACUGAUAGAGAAGGGGCUGAAGGUCCCUCCCCUGGUUGGGGAAGCUGGCCGACCUGGAUGGUGAUUCUUUUUCUUGACCUGGAUGGUGAUUACACAGGUGUGUUUACUUGGUGAUAAUUCAGUGAGCUGUACACCUGCGAAUUGCGUAUACUUCUGAACAUGGGUUAUAUUCUCCCAUUUAAAAGAGAAGUCUAUAAAAUAAAAGCAACAGACAUUGGACUGACUAUAACAUAUUGUUUGUUG